GGCAAUUGUAGCAUGGUUUUGAUCAGAGGUUUAAUCAUGAAACAGUCUCCUCUGAUGAGCAUGCGCAUUUUAGUUAUAAUACUUUGCAUUAUUUUAUGAUUGUGGAGGGUUUGGGAGGAUAAUCUCAAGUCUAUUUACUUCUUUCCAUUGGGCUAAUCCCUUCUCCGGAGCCCAGCUCAUUUUCAAGCUGCUGCUGCCUUGCGUUGCUGUUUUCCCCCACCCCUUCAGUGCGACAGCCUAGGAGCUGCUGAAAAGACCGAAAGUACGCAACUGGUACUUGCAGAGUUAAAGCUGGCUGGAUCGGUUCCUGGAAUUUUCUAGAAUGAUAUAAGGAAAAUGUAAGAAAUGUGUGAGGAGCAGAAAUAAAAAUGUUUGCCAAGCUAUUGCUGACAAUUUGCUUCAAAAUUCAGUCUUGCACCAGAGAAGUACAGAAAUGCCUCACAACGCCUUCAGUGAACCUACAAUAAAAGGACUCAACUCCACCAUGCCUAGACUCACCUCCUAACAUGGAGAGAUGACUUGUAACCCACAGAGUCUGAAAAGAGGACCCCCAUGCUCACGCAGACUUGGAGGAGCUAGAAGAUGGAGAAACAACACGGACCAGGAGAAAGAGGGCUUCGCCCCCGGUACACACUGCCAUCUAGUGACUACAUUCACUCUGCAUAGGCAAUAGAACAUUGCCACAUACUAUCAGCUCUAAGGUCAAGAGGAGG
rnacentral:lncRNA from 1 species